rnacentral:miRNA from 1 species
UCUACCAAUGUGGCUCAGACU